rnacentral:rRNA from 1 species
UACGGAGGGUGCGAGCGUUGUCCGGAAUCACUGGGCGUAAAGGGCGCGUAGGCGGCGCGGCAAGUCUGUGGUGAAAGCCCGAGGCUCAACUUCGGGUCGGCCAUGGAUACUGCUGCGCUCGAGCACUGUAGAGGCAGGUGGAAUUCCGGGUGUAGCGGUGAAAUGCGCAGAUAUCAGGAGGAACACCAAUGGCGAAGGCAGCUCGCUGGGACGGUACUGACGCUGAGACGCGAAAGCGUGGGGAGCAAACAGG